AAGUCAUGACAAGUGCAUUUUUAGCAGAUACCGUAACGUAACACUUCGUUGCUAAUGCCACGUCACUAUAUAAUAAUUUUAGGUCUGUGACCAUCUUUACGUUACGUAACUCAAAUCAUGUUCUAAUUGCAAGUUACAGGUAACACAGUAACACGCUUAAUUGUACACGUAACAUAAGUUACACAUUUAGAUGUUACACGCAAUAAGUUACAUGUCACACGUAACUUAAAUUGCAAGUUACACGUAACAUAAGUUACAGCACACAAAGUUUCGUAUCGUACUGUUUCCUAUACCAAAUAACUACCUAAAAUAUUUGUUGAAUAGAAUACAAGUGUUUAAUAUCUUUGACAGCUUUGAAACGAGUUGGAAAUUAAUUAAAUAAAUAUGACCUACGAA